UUUGUGCAAGCAAACUGUCCCUAUUCUCCAAUUGGAGGAGAAGGUUGGACAUAGCUUCACUUCUCUUGAUCACCUCAUCGUCAUUAAGGCCGAAAGCAUCAUCAAUGGUGUCCCACCUGCUAAUUUCAUCCUUGAGACUGGAAAUCCUUUCCCCGACAGCACCAAACGAUUCUUUAUUCCAAACUUUAAGGUCCGUCUUUAGC
rnacentral:lncRNA from 1 species